rnacentral:tRNA from 1 species
GGAAUUCUAGAUAUUUGUCCAGCGCUUCAAUGGCAUUGAAGAGGUACGGGGUUCGAGUCCCCGCAGCUCCACCA